ensembl:ncRNA C54D1.8 ncRNA
UUCUUUUAAAAAGGUGCUUCUUCACGUUAGCAUCAAUCAUCAGAGAUUAAAUUGAAUCAUCACA